UACGUGGGGUGCGAGCGUUAAUCGGAAUUACUGGGCGUAAAGCGUGCGCAGGCGGCUUUGCAAGACAGAUGUGAAAUCCCCGGGCUUAACCUGGGAACUGCAUUUGUGACUGCAUGGCUGGAGUGCGGCAGAGGGGGAUGGAAUUCCGCGUGUAGCAGUGAAAUGCGUAGAUAUGCGGAGGAACACCGAUGGCGAAGGCAAUCCCCUGGGCCUGCACUGACGCUCAUGCACGAAAGCGUGGGGAGCAAACAGG
rnacentral:rRNA from 1 species